rnacentral:rRNA from 1 species
CUUUCCCUCUUUCUUUAGGCCUAACACAUGCAAGUCGAACGGCAGCACAGUAAGAGCUUGCUCUUACGGGUGGCGAGUGGCGGACGGGUGAGGAAUACAUCGGAAUCUACUUUUUCGUGGGGGAUAACGUAGGGAAACUUACGCUAAUACCGCAUACGACCUACGGGUGAAAGCAGGGGAUCUUCGGACCUUGCGCGAUUGAAUGAGCCGAUGUCGGAUUAGCUAGUUGGCGGGGUAAAGGCCCACCAAGGCGACGAUCCGUAGCUGGUCUGAGAGGAUGAUCGGCCACACUGGAACUGAGACACGGUCCAGACUCCUACGGGAGGCAGCAGUGGGGAAUAUUGGACAAUGGGCGCAAGCCUGAUCCAGCCAUACCGCGGGGGUGAAGAAGGCCUUCGGGUUGUAAAGCCCUUUUGUUGGGAAAGAAAAGCAGCAGGUUAAUACCCCGCUGUUCUGACGGUACCCAAAGAAUAAGCACCGGCUAACUUCGU